rnacentral:rRNA from 1 species
GACGAACGCUGGCGGCGUGCCUAAUACAUGCAAGUGGGACGCAAGGGAACACACUGUGCUUGCACACCGUGUUUUCUUGAGUCGCGAACGGGUGAGUAACGCGUAGGUAACCUGCCUAUUAGCGGGGGAUAACUAUUGGAAACGAUAGCUAAUACCGCAUAAUAUUAAUUAUUGCAUGAUAAUUGAUUGAAAGAUGCAAGCGCAUCACUAGUAGAUGGACCUGCGUUGUAUUAGCUAGUUGGUAAGGUAAGAGCUUACCAAGGCGACGAUACAUAGCCGACCUGAGAGGGUGAUCGGCCACACUGGGACUGAGACACGGCCCAGACUCCUACGGGAGGCAGCAGUAGGGAAUCUUCGGCAAUGGACGAAAGUCUGACCGAGCAACGCCGCGUGAGUGAAGAAGGUUUUCGGAUCGUAAAGCUCUGUUGUAAGUCAAGAACGUGUGUGAGAGUGGAAAGUUCACACAGGACGGAGCUACCAGAAAGGACGCAUU